rnacentral:rRNA from 1 species
GUCCUUUAGAUAAGAAUUUAAGGUCUGACCUGCCCAUUGAUAAUUUUAACGGCCGCAGUAUUUUGACUGUGCAAAGGUAGCAUAAUCAUUAGUUUUUUAAUUGAAAGCUUGUAUGAAUGGUUGGACGAAAUAUAAUCUGUCUUUAAAUUAUUAUUAGAAUUUAAUUUUUAAGUUAAAAAGCUUAAAUAUUAUUAAAAGACGAGAAGACCCUAUAGAUCUUUAUAUUUUUUUUUAUUUAAUUAAUUUAGAUUAAUAGUUUUUAUAUAGAAAAAUUUAUUUUAUUGGGGUAAUAAAUAGAUUUAAUUAAUUCUUUUUAGUUUUAACAUUUAUAAAUGAUUUUUUUGAUCCAUUAUUAAUGAUUAUAAGAUUAAGUUACCUUAGGGAUAACAGCGUAAUUUUUUUUGAGAGUUCUUAUCGAUAAAAAAGUUUGCGACCUCGAUGUUGGAUUAAAAUUUAAUUUAGGUGUAGAAGUUUAAAUUUUUAGUCUGUUCGACUAUUAAAAUUUU